rnacentral:tRNA from 1 species
AGGCAGUUAGUUUUAAGCCAAAACACUUGAUUUCGGCUCAAGAGCUUGUGGUUCAAGCCCACAACUACCUA